rfam:Schistosoma curassoni strain Dakar, Senegal genome assembly, scaffold: SCTD_scaffold0000219
AUCCAGCUGACGAGUCCCAAAUAGGACUAAUCGCGCGUCCUGGAU